rnacentral:rRNA from 1 species
CGGACGGGUGAGUAACGCGUGAGGAACCUGCCUUUCAGUGGGGGACAACAGUUGGAAACGACUGCUAAUACCGCAUAACGUACGGGUAUCGCAUGGUAUCUGUACCAAAGAUUUAUCGCUGAGAGAUGGCCUCGCGUCUGAUUAGCUAGUUGGUAGGGUAACGGCCUACCAAGGCCACGAUCAGUAGCCGGACUGAGAGGUUGGCCGGCCACAUUGGGACUGAGAUACGGCCCAGACUCCUACGGGAGGCAGCAG